AGCGAACGCUGGCGGUAGGCCUAACACAUGCAAGUCGAACGGCAGCACCGUAAGAGCUUGCUCUUACGGGAGGCGAGUGGCGGACGGGUGAGGUAUGCAUCGGAAUCUACUUUUUCGCGUGGGAUAACGUAGAGAGACUUACGCUAAUACAGCAUACGACCUACGGGUGAAAGCAGGGGAUCUUCGGACCUUGCGCGAUUGAAUGAGCCGAGGUCGGAUUAGCUAGUUGGCGGGUUAGAGGCGCACUAAGGCGACGGUCCGUAGGUGGUCUGAGAGGAAGGUUAGCCACACUGUAAGUGAGACACGCUCCAGACACCGAGGGGAGGCAGUAGUGGCGAAUCUUGCGCAAGGGGCGAGAGCCUGAUCCAGCGAAACCGCGUGGGUGAUGAAGGACUCCGGGUGGGAGAGUCCUGUUGUUGUGAGAGAAGAGAAGCAGUUUAAUCCCCCACGGUACUGACGGUACCCAAAGAAUAAGCACCGGCUAACUUCGUG
rnacentral:rRNA from 1 species